rnacentral:rRNA from 1 species
UACGAAGGGAGCUAGCGUUGUUCGGAAUUACUGGGCGUAAAGGGCGUGUAGGCGGCUUGGCAAGUUGGGUGUGAAAGCCCAGGGCUCAACCCUGGAACUGCACUCAAGACUGUCUUGCUUGAAUUCGGUAGAGGUUGGUGGAAUUCCCAGUGUAGAGGUGAAAUUCGUAGAGAUUGGGAAGAACACCCGUGGCGAAGGCGGCCAACUGGACCGACAUUGACGCUGAGACGCGAAAGCGUGGGGAUCAAACAGG